AUUGAACGCUGGCGGAAUGCUUUACACAUGCAAGUCGAACGGUAGAGGGGGCAACCCCUCGAGAGUGGCGAACGGGUGAGUAAUAUAUCGGAGCGUGCCCAAUCGUGGGGGAUAACGUAGCGAAAGUUACGCUAAUACCGCAUACGAUCUACGGAUGAAAGCGGGGGAUCGCAAGACCUCGCGCGAAUGGAGCGGCCGAUAUCAGAUUAGGUAGUUGGUGGGGUAAAGGCUCACCAAGCCAACGAUCUGUAGCUGGUCUGAGAGGACGACCAGCCACACUGGAACUGAGACACGGUCCAGACUCCUACGGGAGGCAGCAGUGGGGAAUUUUGGACAAUGGGCGAAAGCCUGAUCCAGCCAUGCCGCGUGAGUGAAGAAGGCCUUCGGUUGUAAGACUCUUUCGGCUGGGAAGAAAUACGCACAGGCUAAUACUCUGUGUGGAUGACGGUACCAGCACAAGAAGCACCGGCUAACUACGUGCCAGCAGCCG
rnacentral:rRNA from 1 species